rnacentral:rRNA from 1 species
AUGGCGCCAACGGUGGAGAUCAGGAAUCUCACCUUCACCUACCCGGGAAUCGACGGCAAGCCGCCGCCCGGAGCACCGCCCCUCAUCGAGGACGUCUGCUUCUCCCUCGAAGCCGGUCAGCGCUGCCUUCUCGUCGGCUCCAACGGCGCAGGCAAGACAACGAUACUGAAGAUACUAGGCGGGAAGCACAUGGUGGAUCCGAGCAUGGUUCGGGUCCUGGGAAGGUCGGCCUUCCACGACACGGCGCUUACCUCCUCCGGAGACCUCUGCUACCUUGGCGGCGAGUGGAGGCGCGAUGUUGCCUUUGCAGGCUACCAGGUGAAUAUACAGAUGGACAUUUCGGCAGAGAAGAUGCUAUUUGGUGUCACUGGCGUUGAUCCUCAGAGAAGAGAUGAGCUUAUCAAGAUUUUGGAUGUUGACCUUACCUGGCGGAUGCACAAGGCAUCAGAUGGUCAGAGGAGAAGAGUCCAGAUUUGCAUGGGACUUCUCAAGCCAUUCAAGGUUCUUCUUCUUGAUGAGAUAACAGUUGAUCUUGAUGUGUUGGCAAGAGCAAAUCUGUUGACAUAUCUAAAGAAGGAAUGUGCGGAACAAGGUGCAACAAUUAUCUAUGCCACACAUAUCUUCGAUGGCCUGGAUGACUGGCCAACUCACAUUGUAUAUGUUGCUCAUGGGAAGUUGCAACUAGCGCUGCCAUUAGAAAAGGUGAAAGAAAUGAGCCAGUUAUCGCUCAUGAGAACAGUAGAGCGCUGGCUGAGGAAAGAGAGGGACGAAGACAGGAGGAAGAGAAAGGAGCGGAAGGAGAAAGGCCUCCCGGCAUUCGACAAGGUCAUUGAGGGGAGCAGAGUAGUGAACAACGGGUGGGCAGCAGGAAGGCUCACUUCGACGAUAGCCGGGGAAGAGAACUUUUCUUUCAGUUCAAACAGUGUUCUUCGGUAG